rnacentral:rRNA from 1 species
UAGGCGUAAAUGAUGCGAGUUAAGUGUGGGGGCAUCUACGAGAUGGCCCUGUGCUGUAGGGUAGCCGUUAAACUCGCUGCCUGGGGAGUACGGUCGCAAGGCUGAAACUUAAAGGAAUUGGCGGGGGGAGCACCACAAGAGGUGGAGGCUGCGGUUCAAUUGGACUCAACGCCGGAAAUCUUACCGGGACCGACAGCAACAUGAAGGCCAGGCUGAAGACUUUGCCGGAUUAGCUGAGAGGUGGUGCAUGGCGUAGUCGUGU